GACGAACGCUGGCGGCGUGCUUAACACAUGCAAGUCGAACGGAAAGGCCCUGCUUUUGUGGGGUGCUCGAGUGGCGAACGGGUGAGUAACACGUGAGUAACCUGCCCUGGACUUUGGGAUAACUUCAGGAAACUGGGGCUAAUACCGGAUAGGAGCUCCUGCUGCAUGGUGGGGGUUGGAAAGUUUCGGCGGUUGGGGAUGGACUCGCGGCUUAUCAGCUUGUUGGUGGGGUAGUGGCUUACCAAGGCUUUGACGGGUAGCCGGCCUGAGAGGGUGACCGGCCACAUUGGGACUGAGAUACGGCCCAGACUCCUACGGGAGGCAGCAGUGGGGAAUAUUGCACAAUGGGCGGAAGCCUGAUGCAGCAACGCCGCGUGCGGGAUGACGGCCUUCGGGUUGUAAACCGCUUUCGCCUGUGACGAAGCGUGAUUGACGGUAAUGGGUAAAGAAGCACCGGCUAACUACGUG
rnacentral:rRNA from 1 species